GACGAAGGGGGCUAGCGUUGUUCGGAUUUACUGGGCGUAAAGGGCGCGUAGGCGGCGCAACAAGUCACUUGUGAAAUCUCCGGGCUUAACCCGGAGCGGUCAAGUGAUACUGUCGUGCUAGGAGUGCGGAAGGGCUACUGGAAUUCUCGGUGUAGCGGUGAAAUGCGUAGAUAUCGAGAGGAACACCCUGCGGCGAAGGCGGGUAGCUGGGCCGACACUGACGCUGAUGCGCGAAAGCCAGGGGAGCGAACGGG
rnacentral:rRNA from 1 species